UGAACGCUAGCGACAGGCCUAACACAUGCAAGUCGAGGGGCAGCACAAGGAGCAAUCUGAGGUGGCGACCGGCGCACGGGUGAGUAACACGUAUGCAACCUGCCUGUAAGCGGGGAAUAACCCGUUGAAAGACGGACUAAUACCGCAUAAUACUAAAUUACUGCAUGGUAAUUUAUUUAAACAUUUAUGGCUUACAGAUGGGCAUGCGCAUGAUUAGCUAGUUGGAGAGGUAACGGCUCCCCAAGGCAACGAUCAUUAGGGGUUCUGAGAGGAAGGUCCCCCCACACUGGUACUGAGACACGGACCAGACUCCUACGGGAGGCAGCAGUGAGGAAUAUUGGUCAAUGGACGAGAGUCUGAACCAGCCAAGUCGCGUGCAGGAAGAAUUGUCCUAUGGAUUGUAAACUGCUUUUGCAGGGGAAUAAAGUGCAUCACGUGUGAUGUUUUGUAUGUACUCUGCGAAUAAGGAUCGGCUAACUCCGUGCCAGCCGCGGC
rnacentral:rRNA from 1 species